rnacentral:rRNA from 1 species
UACGAACGCUGGCGGCGUGCUUAACACAUGCCAGUCGAACGGUGAAGCUCCAGCUUGCUGGAGUGGAUCAGUGGCGAACGGGUGAGUAACACGUGAGCAACCUGCCCCUGACUCUGGAAUAAGCGCUGGAAACGGCGUCUAAUACUGGAUACGAGAAGGGUCCGCAUGGGCACUUUCUGGAAAGUUUUUCGGUUGGGGAUGGGCUCGCGGCCUAUCAGCUUGUUGGUGAGGUAAUGGCUCACCAAGGCGACGACGGGUAGCCGGCCUGAGAGGGCGACCGGCCACACUGGGACUGAGACACGGCCCAGACUCCUACGGGAGGCAGCAGUGGGGAAUAUUGCACAAUGGGCGAAAGCCUGAUGCAGCGACGCCGCGUGAGGGAUGACGGCCUUCGGGUUGUAAACCUCUUUCAGCAGGGAAGAAGCGAAAGUGACGGUACCUGCAGAAGAAGCACCGGCUAACUACGUG